CCUACGGGUGGCAGCAGUGAGGAAUAUUGGUCAAUGGGCGCGAGCCUGAACCAGCCAAGUAGCGUGAAGGAUGACUGCCCUACGGGUUGUAAACUUCUUUUAUAAAGGAAUAAAGUGAGGCACGUGUGCCUUUUUGUACGUACUUCAUGAAUAAGGAACGGCUAACUCCGGGCCAGCAGCCGCGGUAAUACGGAGGAGCCGAGCGUUAUCCGGAUUUAGUGGGUUUAAAGGGAGCGUAGAUGGGUUGUUAAGUCAGUUGUGAAAGUUUGCGGCUCAACCAUAAAAUUGCAAUUGAUACUGGCAGUCUUGAGUACAGUUGAGGUAGGCGGAAUUCGUGGUGUAGCGGUGAAAUGCUUAGAUAUCACGAAGAACUCCGAUUGCGAAGGCAGCUUACUAAACUGCCACUGACAUUGAUGCUCGAAAGUGUGGGUAUCAAACAGGAUUAGAUACCCCUGUAGUC
rnacentral:rRNA from 1 species